rnacentral:rRNA from 1 species
GCCUGUAAGACUGGGAUAACUCCGGGAAACCGGGGCUAAUACCGGAUGGUUGUCUGAACCGCAUGGUUCAGACAUAAAAGGUGGCUUCGGCUACCACUUACAGAUGGACCCGCGGCGCAUUAGCUAGUUGGUGAGGUAACGGCUCACCAAGGCGACGAUGCGUAGCCGACCUGAGAGGGUGAUCGGCCACACUGGGACUGAGACACGGCCCAGACUCCUACGGGAGGCAGCAGUAGGGAAUCUUCCGCAAUGGACGAAAGUCUGACGGAGCAACGCCGCGUGAGUGAUGAAGGUUUUCGGAUCGUAAAGCUCUGUUGUUAGGGAAGAACAAGUGCCGUUCAAAUAUUUGCGGCACCUUGACGGUACCUAACCAGAAAGCCACGGCUAACUACGUGCCAGCAGCCGCGGUAAUACGUAGGUGGCAAGCGUUGUCCGGAAUUAUUGGGCGUAAAGGGCUCGCAGGCGGUUUCUUAAGUCUGAUGUGAAAGCCCCCGGCUCAA